rnacentral:rRNA from 1 species
GUACCCGCUGAACUUAAGCAUAUAACUAAGCGGUGGAAAAGAAACUAACAAGGAUUCCCUCAGUAACGGCGAGUGAAGCGGGAAGAGCUCAAGCUUAAAAUCUCCGAGAUGAUUUCUCGGCGAAUUGUAGUCUAUGGAAGCGAUGUCAGAGACGUCGGCAGGUUCAAGUUCCUUGGAAGAGGACAGCAUGGAGGGUUACACUCCCGUUUGAGCCGAGUCGAUGUCACGUACGACACGCUCUCUUCGAGUCGCGUUGUUUGGGAUUGCAGCGCAAAGUAGGUGGUAAACUCCAUCGAAAGCUAAAUACCGGUAGAGACCGAUAGCAAACAAGUACCGUGAGGGA